GCCAGGUCUGGAGAGGCCUGGCUACUGGUGAGUGAGGUAACUGAGAUCAGGUAUGGAGAGGACUGGCUCCUGGUGAGUGAGUUAAUUGAGACCCGGUAUGGAGGGACCUGGCUCCUGGCGAGUGAUUUAAUUGAGACCCGGUGUGGAGGGACUUGGCUCCUGGUGAGUGAGUGAAUUGAGAUGAGGUAUGGAGGGACCUGUCUCCUGGUGAGUGAGUUAAUUGAGAUGAGGUGUGGAGGGACCUGUCUCCUGGUGAGUGAGUUAAUUGAGAUGAGGUGUGGAGGGACCCGGCUCCUGGUGAGUGAGUUAAUUGAGACUCGGUGUGGAGGGACUUGGCUCCUGGUGAGUGAGUGAAUUGAGAUGAGGUAUGGAGGGACCUGGCUCCUGGUGAGUGAGUGAAUUGAGAUGAGGUAUGGAGGGACCUGGCUCCUGGUGAGUGAGUGAAUUGAGAUCAGGUAUGGAGGGACUUGGCUCCUGGUGAGUGAGUUAAUUGAGACUCUGUGUGGAGGGACCUGGCUCCUGGUGAGUGAGUUAAUUGAGAUGAGGUAUGGAGGGACCUGGCUGCUGGUGAGUGAGGUAUGGAGGGACCUGGCUCCUGGUGAGUGAGUUAAUUGAGGUCAGGUAUGGAGGGACCUGGCUCCUGGUGAGUGAGUUAAUUGAGAUCAGUUAUGGAGGGACCUGGCUCCUGGUGAGUGAGUUAAUUGAGAUGAGGUAUGGAGGGACCUGGCUCCUGGUGAGUCUCCUGGAGGCAGCUGCUAUCUGGGAACACAGGCACAGGUGGGAACAGACCUUCACUUCCUGCUCACUUAGGUUCAGUGAGUUCUCCAAACCAGCCUCCCAGGAAUGCCAUUCAACAUGGCUGUGAGGAGAAUAAAGAAGAGAGCCU
rnacentral:lncRNA from 1 species